GACGAACGCUGGCGGCGUGCUUAACACAUGCAAGUCGUACGGUAAGGCCCUUUCGGGGGUACACGAGUGGCGAACGGGUGCGUAACACGUGAGUAACCUGCCCACAACUUUGGGAUAACGCUAGGAAACUGGUGCUAAUACUGGAUAUGUGCUCCUGCUGCAUGGUGGGGGUUGGAAAGCUCCGGCGGUUGUGGAUGGACUCGCGGCCUAUCAGCUUGUUGGUGGGGUAGUGGCCUACCAAGGCGGCGACGGGUAGCCGGCCUGAGAGGGUGACCGGCCACAUUGGGACUGAGAUACGGCCCAGACUCCUACGGGAGGCAGCAGUGGGGAAUAUUGCACAAUGGGCGCAAGCCGGAUGCAGCAACGCCGCGUGCGGGAUAACGGCCUUCGGGUUGUAAACCGCUUUCAGCAGGGACGAAGCUUUUUGUGACGGUACCUGCAGAAGAAGCACCGGCUAACUACGUG
rnacentral:rRNA from 1 species